rnacentral:rRNA from 1 species
GACGAACGCUGGCGGCGCGCUUAACACAUGCAAGUCGAGCGAUGAAAUCUUGACAGAUCCCUUCGGGUUGUAGCUAAGAUGGAUUAGCGGCGGACGGGUUAGUAACACGUGAGUAACCUGCCUUCUACGUUGGGAUAGCCUCGGUACACCGGGAUUACUUCCACAUGAAAUCAUAGGUGCCCAUGCACUAAUUAUCAAGACUCCGGUGUUCUAAGAUGGACUCGCGUCCCAUUAGCUAGUUGGCGAGGUAAUGGCCCACCAAGGCGACGAUGGGUAGCCGGGCUGAGAGGGUGAACGGACACAGUGGAAGGGAGAAGCAGUCGAAACUCCUACGGGAGGCAGCAGUGGGGAAUAGUGCACAAUGGAGGGAACUCUGAUGGAGCGACGCUGCGUGAACGAUGAAAGCUGUCGAGUCGUAAAGUUCUUUUAUAUGGGAAGAUAAUGACGGUACCAUAAGAAAAAGCCACGGCUAACUACGUG